ensembl:lncRNA
AAAAAACAAAAAACACCUUUCCUCAUUUCCUCCUUACGACGUUUCCUUGCGUAAAAGGCGCAAAGUGAGCGGCUUAUUAGCGGACGCGCCCGUGCACACCGCCGCCCGUGAAGUAAUACGCCGAACAACAAACUGACAUCAUCAGAAUGCGACUCUCCCACCCCGACGAGCCCGACACAUUCUAGAGGACGUCAACCAUAAGGGGGGACCGAGUGGGCCAAAGCGUCACCGCUCGCACGCCGGCGCGUGGGUCUGUUCAUGCACGUGCGCCGCGGCUGCAGCCGUCUGCCGCGCGCGUCUGUCUGUCCGCGCAGGAGCCGAGACGGACGGGCCCGGCGGCGACGACGACGACGACGACGACGACCAUGAUGAUGAUGAUGGCGGAGGAGGACUGCGUCGGCUUCCAGGCGCAAAUCGCCUCCAUCAUCGAGAUCCUGGCCAACUCCGCCGUGGCGGAGAUCUGCAAGCUGGUGGACGACGGCUACGCGGCGCUGCGCUCCCAGAUGGAGCGGGAGCGGGAGAAGAGCGCGCGCGAGAACGACGCGCUGCGCGCCAAGCUGCGGGACACCGACAUGAAGAUGCGCGGCUACGAGAGGAAGAUGAGGAGACGGGGUCGGAGAGAGGAAGCCCCCGCCGCUCGUUUCGGGCCGUCCGAAGGAGCUGACAUCCAUCAGCCGGUGGUGCCGCCUCUUCCUGCGCCUUCUCCAGACGCAACCUGCCUUCACGUGUCAAAGCAGGAGGAGUCGUUGCCGCUGGUGAAGCAGGAGAAGGUGGACUGCAAUCUGGACCUGAAGGUGGAGGUCAACAUUAGGGCGGAGUGUGACCUGUCCACCGGGUCGCGUCCCUGUGCUGGCCAACGCCAAAUGAAACUCAACGGGUCCGACCCAAACCCGGGACCGGGUGUGGCACAGUCCACCGGACGUCAUCUUGAGGUGUGAGGACGCUUUAAUGGCCUGACCCAGCGGAUAAACGGAAGGCCGCGUUGGACCGGAGGUCUUAAGACGACCGUGAGUGACGGUGGGAACGAGAGAAGCGGUUCCCUCAGAGAGGAGCUCGGCGGGUUGACGCACGGGUCUCGAGGCGCCGCAGAGGGAGGGGACGCCAUAAGCUGCCAUUGAUAAAAAAAAUGAAUUAAAAAAAAAGCACGGCCUGACAGUGCGCAGGACGUCUUUUACAAGUUAGGAGGGAGCAGUACUGAGCUGGGGAGGUGAUUUAAUCUGAGAGACAGUGGUUUCUAGAAGUGAGAAGGAGAUUGGCUGAAAUUGGGUCAGCACUUUGUGCUUUGAGGGGGCGGAGGGGCAAGUGGGGCAUCCAUGUCCGGAACAAUCAGUCCUCAUGUCCUCUAACUUUUGUAAACAAAGUCACUCGGAAAAAAACCCCUCCGCUCAUUCUGGCCUCUUCGCAGCGGAGGAACUAUUCACAGCAGAAUCAAUGUCAAUUAAAAUCAAAUAGGAGAAAUAAAACUUAAGCUGCUGUCUGUCUGAAAGUUGAAGAGAAGGGAGACAAAUUGCCUCUCGGCCUUUAAUAAACGUCCAGCUCUUUCUUGUCUGCUCAUUGAGUCACGGAUAACCAUCACAAUUCACUACCUGAUUUGGAAAGGAGCAGUAUGGCCACCGCAAUGCAUCAUGGGACGGCUCCUACAUGAAAGCGCUCACGGGUUGGGCAUUGCUUCAUGCAUUGGGCAGAAUUGGCAUUGAAAACAACUUUAUUUACUCUCUUAUGGUUCAUUCUACAGGGACGAUACAGUAUUAUUAUCAUCAUUUAUCAUUCAUCCAAAGCGACUUUACAUUUUCAACCCGUGGCUUUUACAUUUUGCCCGGGGAGCAAUUCCGACCCCAGUGUGCAGAGCGGAGACUGUCACGCAGUCAUGAGUCAUAUUCCUAAAGCAGCCCGAGUUGAGCAUAACAAGCCUUUGCCACCGGCGCGAUGUCUUAAUAGACACUGCGGGCGACCUUUUCAGGUCCGCUGUCUUUCUCGCGACGACCUGCUGUGGACGCGCGCUGUGUGUCGACACCCUGCAGAGGUGACUCCUGACUUCCCGAACUCAAUCGUGCAAAAGUCUUAAGGGGCUGGUGGCCAGUUCAACGUCAAAAGCAGCAAAUCGCGAUCUCGUCAUCUCUCCGACUCAAAUACGGACUUGAGACUCUGGUUAACUUAAACGCGGUUUGUAAGCCCCCUGCUGCAGAUAACACUUUUUCUGAUCAACUCACAAAACUGUAACUGCAAUCUAGACAAAUAAUUCAUUCUUAUGGGCGAUUUAAUGUGAACUGGUAAAUCUCACAUAUAUGGGCCAACAAGGUCUCCUCUAAAAUUACACCACAGGAAAUACGGACUAAAGAAAUGUCUUUUUCGAGUAGACCAUGCACACGAGUUGUUGCUAAAGCAAGACCGAGAAGUGUUUGUAAAAUGAUGGAAACGGGAGCUGCUGAGGAAGAAAGGAUAUUAAUGGAAAAGCAGAAAUGACUCCUCAUGGACAGUUUUAAUCUCUUAAAAAUGUCCUGUCAAUCUCCCCAGGUUUGACUCAGACAUCCUCAGUGAUGGCGAGAUGAAGCCCCAUGAAGCAGUGAGGCUUUGCGUCCCGACGCUUCA